UACGUAGGGAGCAAGCGUUGUCCGGAAUCAUUGGGCGUAAAGCGCGCGUAGGCGGCUCGAUCAGUCUGUUGUGAAAGUCAAAGGCUCAACCUUUGAAUGCCGAUGGAUACUGUCGAGCUAGAGUCCGGAAGAGGCGGGUGGAAUUCCUGAUGUAGCGGUGGAAUGCGCAGAUAUCAGGAGGAACACCAACGGCGAAGGCAGCCCGCUGGGACGGUACUGACGCUAAGGCGCGAAAGCGUGGGGAGCGAACAGG
rnacentral:rRNA from 1 species